AAUAGAUACCCGGGUAGUCCACGCCGUAAACGAUGAGUGCUAAGUGUUAGGGGGUUUCCGCCCCUUAGUGCUGCAGCUAACGCAUUAAGCACUCCGCCUGGGGAGUACGGUCGCAAGACUGAAACUCAAAGGAAUUGACGGGGGCCCGCACAAGCGGUGGAGCAUGUGGUUUAAUUCGAAGCAACGCGAAGAACCUUACCAGGUCUUGACAUCUCAUUGACCGCUAUGGAGACAUAGCUUUCCCUUCGGGGACAGUGGUGACAGGUGGUGCAUGGUUGUCGUCAGCUCGUGUCGUGAGAUGUUGGGUUAAGUCCCGCAACGAGCGCAACCCUUGUUCUUAGUUGCCAUCAUUUAGUUGGGCACUCUAAGGAGACUGCCGGUGACAAACCGGAGGAAGGUGGGGAUGACGUCAAAUCAUCAUGCCCCUUAUGACCUGGGCUACACACGUGCUACAAUGGACGGUACAAACGGUUGCCAACCCGCGAGGGGAGCUAAUCCGAUAAAACCGUUCUCAGUUCGGAUUGUAGGCUGCAACUCGCCUAC
rnacentral:rRNA from 1 species